rnacentral:rRNA from 1 species
UGAUGAGAGUACUUACGAAUAAGCAUCGGCUAACUCCGUGCCAGCAGCCGCGGUAAUACGGGGGAUGCAAGCGUUAUCCGGGAUUUAUUGGGUUUAAAGGGUGCGUAGGCGGUUUUGUAAGUCAGCGGUGAAAUUUCGGAGCUCAACUUCGAACGCGCCGUUGAUACUGCAGAACUGGAAUGCGGAUGCCGUGGGAGGAAUGUGUGGUGUAGCGGUGAAAUGCAUAGAUAUCACACAGAACACCGAUUGCGAAGGCAUCUCACGAAUCCGCUAUUGACGCUGAGGCACGAAAGCGUGGGGAUCAAACAGGAUUAGAUACCCUGGUAGUCCACGCUGUAAACGAUGAUGACUAACCGUCGGCGAUAUACAGUCGGUGGCCAAGCGAAAGCGAUAAGUCAUCCACCUGGGGAGUACGACCGCAAGGUUGAAACUCAAAGGAAUUGACGGGGGCCCGCACAAGCGGAGGAACAUGUGGUUUAAUUCGAUGAUACGCGAGGAACCUUACCCGGGCUCGAACGGCAGGGGAAUAAUCCAGAGAUGGAUUAGUCUUCGGACUCCUGUCGAGGUGCUGCAUGGUUGUCGUCAGCUCGUGCUGUGAAGUGUCGGCUUAAGUGCCAUAACGAGCGCAACCCUUGCCAUUAGUUGCCAUCAGGUUAAGCUGGGGACUCUAGUGGGACUGCCACCGCAAGGUGUGAGGAAGGGGGGGAUGACGUCAAAUCAGCACGGCCCUUACGUCCGGGGCGACACACGUGUUACAAUGGUGGGUACAGAGGGAAGCUACCUGGCGACAGGAUGCAGAUCUCGAAAACCCAUCCCAGUUCGGAUUGGAGUCUGCAACCCGACUCCAUGAAGUUGGAUUCGCUAGUAAUCGCGCAUCAGCCAUGGCGCGGUGAAUACGUUCCCGGGCCUUGUACACACCGCCCGUCAAGCCAUGGAAGCCGGGGGCGCCUGAAGUUCGUGACCGCGAGGAGCGACUCG